GGGCAUAUGGCGCAGUGGUAGCGCGUUCGCUUUGCAUCGAGCAAGUAAUGUGAAAGGUCUUGGGUUCGACCCCCAAUUUGUCCA